rnacentral:rRNA from 1 species
UACGUAGGGUGCGAGCGUUAAUCGGAAUUACUGGGCGUAAAGCGUGCGCAGGCGGUUUGUUAAGCCAGAUGUGAAAGCCCCGGGCUCAACCUGGGAACUGCGUUUGGGACUGGCAAGCUAGAGUACGGCAGAGGGGGGUGGAAUUCCACGUGUAGCAGUGAAAUGCGUAGAUAUGUGGAGGAACACCGAUGGCGAAGGCAGCCCCCUGGGCCGAUACUGACGCUCAGGCACGGAAGCGUGGGGAGCAAACAGG